UCAUAUUUUAACACACACAUGUGAAACUAAAAAUUCAUAGUUUCAACAAUAUCGUCUGAGAAUGAAGAUGUACUCAUACUAUUGGUAGCUUCAUAGUAAAAAAAAUAAAAAAACAAUAUUGGAUUAAUUAGAUUCAUUCACUUUUAAAUAAUAAGCAGCAUAGUAGGUAUGUAGUUGCAAAGAAAUUAUCCAGCAAUGAGGAUAAAUUCCGAAAUUUUUAUAGAAUGUCUUAAGCUGCGUUUCACUGUUUAGUGCAUUUAGUUGGACCACAGUGGUAUAACAAAUAAGAAAGAUUUCAACUGGAAAAUGGCUUUGGGAUCAGAAAAAAUGUAAAAUAUAAUAUAAUAUA